rnacentral:rRNA from 1 species
CCUACGGGUGGGCUGCAGUGGGGAAUAUUGGACAAUGGGCGAAAGCCUGAUCCAGCCAUGCCGCGUGUGUGAAGAAGGCCUUCGGGUUGUAAAGCACUUUCAGUGGGGAAGAAAGCCUUGGGGCUAAUACCCUCGAGGAAGGACAUCACCCACAGAAGAAGCACCGGCUAACUCCGUGCCAGCAGCCGCGGUAAUACGGAGGGUGCGAGCGUUAAUCGGAAUUACUGGGCGUAAAGCGCGCGGAGGCGGUCUGAUAAGCCGGUUGUGAAAGCCCCGGGCUCAACCUGGGAACGGCAUCCGGAACUGUCAGGCUAGAGUGCAGGAGAGGAAGGUAGAAUUCCCGGUGUAGCGGUGAAAUGCGUAGAGAUCGGGAGGAAUACCAGUGGCGAAGGCGGCCUUCUGGUCUGACACUGACGCUGAGGUGCGAAAGCGUGGGUAGCAAACAGGAUUAGAUACCCUAGUAGUC